rnacentral:rRNA from 1 species
UCUUGCAAUUAAAGUAUAAGAGGUCCUGCCUGCCCAGUGACAUUAGUUUAACGGCCGCGGUAUUAUGACCGUGCAAAGGUAGCGUAAUCACUUGUCUUUUAAAUAAAGACCUGUAUGAAUGGCAAAACGAAAGUUCAACUGUCUCCCUAAGUUAAUCAGUGAAAUUGAUUUUUCCGUGCAGAAGCGGAAAUAAAUUUAUAAGACGAGAAGACCCUAUGGAGCUUCAAAUAUAAAUCAAUUGUUUUAAUUAAAAAACCAUAAAUAUAAUAAAACAUAAUGAUUAAAAUUUUAGGUUGGGGCGACCACGGAAAAAAACAAAACUUCCGAGAUGAAAUAUUAUUAAUGAACAACAGUUCUAAAAAAUAAAAUAUUUAACAUAAUUGAUCCAAUAUUUGAUCAACGAACCAAGUUACCCUAGGGAUAACAGCGCAAUCCUUUCUAAGAGUCCUUAUCGACGAAUGGGUUUACGACCUCGAUGUUGGAUCAGGACACCCCAAUGGUGUAGCCGCUAUUAAAGGUUCGUUUGUUCAACGAUUAA